CUGCCAUCCAUGUAAGAUGUGACUUGCUGCUCCUUGCCAUCUGCCAUGAUUGUGAAGUCUCUUCAGCCAUGUGGAGCCGAACUUCAUGAAAACCCAGUUAUCCAAAGAAUAGAAUAUUCAACUAUCUCUCCUGGAGAAUUACCACUUCUCACAACCAUAGACUACUCAACCAGGCUUGCCAAAUCUCAUUGCAAAAACCCCACUUCAGUGAAUCCUCCAGUGGCAAAUUUGACCCAGUUUCACACAGGCCUUCUUACUGAAUGGAUCACCUGAGAUCAAACCCUCAAGAUCUUGUGAAUAUCUUAUUCUUGAUCUUCCUGUUUCAAGAAACCACUAAGACUCUGUCAAUGUAGUUCACUAAUUUACUGCAGUAAGCAAUAAACCUGUCUUUAUUUAAUCAAUGAGUUAUUUUGGUAGUCUUACUGAAGAAAUGGUAGUAGACA
rnacentral:lncRNA from 1 species